rnacentral:lncRNA from 1 species
GAGUUAACCAUUUUCGGGGGACUAUUUACUCCUGAUCCUAAGUGACAGCUCUGGGAGGGAGAAUCACGUGGCUCUGAAAUCCCCGCUGGGGGCCCAGGAGCAUGCCCAGCUGCCUCAGCCUGGGAAAGAUGCUGGAGCCUGCAGCAGCCACAACAGCAUCCUCUCCCCGCGCCAGGGCCCCGCCGGGAUCCCGAGAUGACUGAUUGGGCAGCCCUCUGAGGCUAAGCUCUGCUCGUCGGGGGAGGGGGGGACCCUAAGGGCGGCGGGUGGGGGUGGGGAGGACCCCGGCUGGAGCUGGAGCGAGCUUGGGGGAGGGGAGACUGGGAUGCUUGGAGAGCUCGAGAGAUUCAUUCAGCGCGGGCUUCCACCUCAGAAACCGGUGGUGGGUGUCUUCCAAACAUCUUUGUCUUCAGCCUUUCAAGAAGCCAGCAAUCUCUGCAGAGAACACUGCCCUUGGAAGACAAGUGAGUUCAAAUCUGACCUCAGACACUUACUAGCUGUGUGACUCAGGGCAAGUCACUUAACUCUUCUCUGCCUCAGUUUUCUCAUCUGUAAUGUGGGAAUAAUAAUAAGAUAUCCCAGACAGAGAAUUGUUGUGAGACUCAAAUGAAAGAAUAUAUGCCAAGUGCUCUGCACUUUUAUAUAUAUUACACAGACUUUGAAAACCUAUAUAAAAGUUAUGAUGAUGAUGAUGGCAAGUAGGUGGUUUAGGGGAUAGAACACUGGACCUGGAAUCAGGAAGGCCUGAGUUCAAAUCAAGCCUCAGCCACUUAUUAGCAGUAUAUGACUCUGGACAAGUCACUUAACCUCUACCUGCCUUUCUGCAGUAUCUCUGCUAAGAAAAUCUCACAAACAGUGUAGUCCAAUGAAUCAUGAAGAGUUGGGAACGACUGAAUGACUCUAGUCAACAAAACAACAAAAUAUUGUGUAAUGAAAGUAUUAUUAUUAGAUUUGGAGUCAAAGGACCCAGGUUCAAAUCCCAGCUAUGACACUUACUGCCUGUGUGACCCUGGG